rnacentral:snRNA from 1 species
GUUCUUGCUUCAGCAACACAUAUACUAAAACUGGAAUAAUAUAAAGAUUAUCAUGGCCUCUGUGCAAGGAUGACACAUAAAUUUGUGAAGCAUUCCAUUCUAUA